rnacentral:misc_RNA from 1 species
AAACCCUCACCAUCGUGAUGCCACAAUCAUGUGUGGUGGACUUGGAUUGUGCCGUGGUUGGCUCAUCCCAAAAUCCAUUAGCUUGCGCCUAUUUAGAGUGCAUGGCACGGUGUGAUAAUUAUCUGCGUCGUUGCCUGGGGCCUCUUUGGUGUGCGCUGCUUACAGCCGUCCCCAUGGGACAACGUGUUUUAAAGCU